UAAUGCUAACUCUUUAUGAUUAUUGAUUCGUGGCUCGUUUGUCGUUUUCUUAAUUCCUGUACUUAGGGUUUAUUGGAAAGACGAUCUCCUUAACAAAUUUACCGAUUACUUCUCCUAAUUAUUGCUUGAAUUAUGGUUCGAUUUAUUUAUUGAUCGACGGAAUUGUUCUCCUGUGCAAUAAAAGGUUCAAUUUUGGGAUUUCAGGGUUUGCUAUUGGACAAUCUUUGAGGAGGAGCUAGAUUAAGAGGCUUUUGUGAAGAUGUGGGCAGCUUCUUGCCUUGCGUCAUGCUGCGCGGCGUGCGCUUGUGACGCUUGCCGUACGGUAGUGUCAGGGAUCAGCCGUCGUUCCGCCAGGAUUGCCUAUUGUGGUCUUUUUGCUUUGUCACUCAUUGUCUCGUGGAUUCUUAGAGAGGUUGCUGCUCCUUUACUGGAGAAAAUACCAUGUAAGGUUUUUUUCCCUACAAUCAUGAUGCAUGAGCUUUUAACUUGUCAGAGCUUUCUCCUGUUGUCCGGUAUUAUUAACUUCAAUUCUAACGUUGGCACCCUGAUGUACAGAUGGCUAAUUGCUAUAUCUAUGGUCCGCCUCUUGUGUUAUUGGCUUUAAGCAUCUUCAUCCAACUCAGUCUCUCUAAAUGUUCGAUACUAUGCUAUCACAUUUAUUUGGAAAAGCUUGGUGCUUUACCAAAAUAUAAGUCAUUCUCAGCUAAAACUACGAAAUACCAAAUCAAAUUUGUAUCCUUGACAAGGAUUUGUUAGUAAUUUGAUGCUUCUCAUGGGCCAAUUAAGGACUUAUGUUUUAAACUGAUAUUUAAGGAAUUUGUAACCCCUUCUACUGAUCAAAAUUUUAUUAAUCUCGAGAAAGAUUACAUCUUGAAUUUGUAGAACACGUCUGCCCGUGAUUUGAUUCUCAGCCAUGUCAAUUCGACCUGGAAAACUUGCCUAUGCAAUAAUGAUGAGUGCAACGCGAAUUGCCAAUUGCAUCUUUGGUUAUUAGGAAUGUUUUAAGAUGGUGAAGGAUGGAAGACCCACAUAGUUAUGUGCAUCUGCGAGCUUAGGUAGCAUUUGAAGCAGAAGAGCUGUUGUAUUGAAUAAUUAAUUUACUAUCUCUCAGUGUUGUCUUCCUUGAGGUUUAACGAAAGCAAGGUGAUAUAAACUAGAGAACUUUUUGAGGAAAAUUUUCCUCAAAAGGUUAUAAUGGUCAGGUAGUGCUCCAUACUGCUAAAAAAUUUAGAAGUGAAGAGUUAAGAACAAAAACGCAAACCAGUUGCUGUCCUUUGUUACUUGUGGUGAAACUCUUUUUGAUAAUAAAUGAAGGUCAAAUAUACUUAAUGGACGAAAAUGGCCAGAAACACUUUUGGCUUGCUGGCUUUGCUUCUCUGAAUUUCUGGUAUCAAGCUUCCGAGUCUUUAAUUAUGUGAUUAGCAAUAGUGAAGCUUUGGCAAGCCGUCUUUGUGUGCAAAUGUCUGAUCAUUGAGUCAUAGGAUGAAAUACUUAUGUGUGUGUGUGCGUGUGUCUUUCUCACUCUCUACUGUCCCUUUCAGCCCAGUUAAUGCUUUGAGGUUAUAUUGUGAGCUUAUCAGUAGCGCCUUAAAUCUACAACCUUUAUUUUGAAAUAGUUUGACUGACAUUAUCGUUUUUACUCCUAGGGCUUUUCUGAUAUUCCAAGACAUCUUUAAUGUUUAUUACAUUGCAGGGAUUAAUAGCUUUCAUUCGACACCGAACAGAGAGUGGUUUGAGACAGAUGCUGUGCUUCGGGUUAGUCUGGGGAACUUCCUAUUUUUCACUAUCUUAGCAAUCUUAAUGAUUGGUGUGAAGAACCAGAAAGACCCGCGUGACAGUAUGCACC
rnacentral:lncRNA from 1 species